UGUCCUGGAACUCACUCUGUAGACCAGGUUGGCCUCGAACUCAGAAAUCCACCUGCCUCUGACUCCCAGAGUGCUGGGAUUACAGGUGUGUGCCACCACCGCCGGGCAAUUUUUUUGUUUGUUUGUUUUUGUUUUUGUUUUUUGAGACAGGCCUCACUUUAGCCCAACUGAAGGCCUCAAGCCUUUUGAGUUCUGGAAUUAUAGGUGUGAGUCAUGCCCAGCUUCACCAACAUCCUUAGGUCAGAAAACUGUGAUGCUCGAUAGUAAAUGUUUAGCUUAUCUUUUUUUUUUUUUUUGGUUUUUGUUUUUUUGAGACAGGGUUUCUCUGUAUAGCCCUGGCUGUCUUGGAACUCACUCUGUAGUUGGCCUCGAACUCAGAAAUCCUCCUGUCUCUGCCUUCCAGAGUGCUGGGAUUACAGGUGACAUGCACUACCACCACCCAGCUGUUUAGCUUAUCUCUUACCCUAGUAAAAUGACUCAGGUCAGAGGCAGGUCCUAAACCAUCUAUACCCUGUGCUGUGCUGCUUUCUGGGGUGUGGUGAGGGAGAGUCCCGGCUCUCACCAGUGGAGUCACUGACGUAACACAGUGUCCCUGCUCACACAUGCACACACAUAGGUGCUGAGGCCAACCACACGCAGACUAGGGGCUGAGAUGCCAGCUCUGGGAACCUGUCUGUUUUCCUGCCUGCCAUGAGUUCUCCACUCCAGCGGCCUUAGCCACUCUCCCUGGUUCUUUGUGUGCCCAGGAACCAACCUGUCCAUGUGCUCUGUUUCAGGGCCUGCACUGGAGGUACGUACUAAGACUAACCGUCAAAGUAUGUUUUUGUGACAACAGUCUGAGGUCAGCCUUAAUGUCAAAAGGACUGCGGCUGGUUGUGAGGAGGGCCAAUAGGAGGCUGUGUCAUUGCAGCUGUGAUUCCUCACUGCUGCUAUUCCUGUUCGCUGGGGGUGGGCAGUGUAGGCCCAAGAGACUGCAAAUCCAUCGUUCUAGUUAAAAAUGAGACCAGGGCCAGAAAGAGCCUUCGCUGUUCAAAGGUGAGAUGACUUAAGGUGGCCUGUGAGCCCAGCCUGGAGCUCUGUACCUGACUUGUUUUGAGAGAGUGACAUUCAUGUUGAUCCCCAUGGUGGCCUCUAGGGUGGCAGGGGAGUGCAGAUGGGCCCUGGGGAUUUGCUUGAGCACCUUUGACCUUGUUCUGUGUCCUGUCAGCACUCUGGGACCCAGGAAACCACUGGAGGCCCACUCACUUCACCCCUGCCUCUGCAUGGCAUCUACCUGCCUUGGUCUGUGCUACCACCAAGGUCUCCUGACAACUGGAACCCAUCCUGCAAACACAGGUCCAGCUCUUUGGCACCCAGGCCUUCUCCUGUCUAUUCUGAGCCAUCCCAAGCUGGAUCCCUGGGCCCGAAGAGCUCAGCCAGCAGGAGGAACUCCACAUCACCCCAUCUUACCCCAACCUACCUAAACUGACAUUGCGCUGUAGAAUGGACCCUUUCCCACAACCAACUGGCCCAGGCACCCAUUCCUACCCAUACCCUGCCGGUGGAUGAGAUUCAUCUACUGGUGGCCUCCAGUAUGGUAAGGAGACCCUUAAAAUUCCAGAUGCUGACCUGUCAGCUCAGGAGGCACCAGGCCUGACCAGUGUGAAGCAGUUGAGCUGUGAGCUAGGCCGGGGAUGGUCCCUGAGUCACCCAUCCAAGCUCGGCGCCCCUAAGACCAGCCCUGCUUGUUCUCACCCUGCUUCUUUGGAUGUAAGAAUCCUGGGACCAAUCCUGGCCCUUUGGUCCCUUUCUCUUGGCAGGACCCUCUUUGUUGGCCACUUAAGUUUCUGGGGCCUGGCAGGCUCUGGCUUUCUCUAAGGAGCUCCUGGAAGACCCGGAGGAGACGCAGUUCAGCAGAUGUGGUCUGGGCUUUUACCUAGGAGGUGGGAUGCAGUCUGGCAGUUCCCAGAGGCCUUUGCAGGACUCUAGGCCAGGCAGUGCUGCUCUGAAUGUCCUAGAACUGGGAUGUUGGUUGCUUCAAGGUGCUCUGGGUCUGUAACCAGGAUGGGCAGUCCAUGGAGAUAUGCUGCAUCAUAUUCUUGCCGAAUAGCUCUGUUCUGGGGGUAUCCUGGAAUGUCUCAUUAGGGACUAAUAUUAGUUGGCUCUGUGGGUACAUGUUCUCAGGGCCCUGUACCCUGAGAAGGGUUCCAGAGUCUUUCCAGGUCCGGCACCCAGGUCCAUAGAGAGCAGGGCCAUACUUAGGGCCUUGGGAAGCUCUUGGUGGCGGGUGUGUGUGUUCAGCAGGCAAUGCCAUUAUGAUAAGAGUUUGGAGUGCUUUGUGAAUAGAGACAACGUUGACAAACUUCCAUCUGAGGUAGGUGGAAAUCUUGGCUCUCCCCACCCGGGGCUGGGGUGGGGUUUCUCCCCCCUGUUGCCCUCCAUUCCCAUUUCUCACUGGUGUUUCACCAGCAUGGGCCUGGCCUUGAGCCCCUGGGGCAAGCCUGACCUGAAGUCCUUUUCUCAGUAGGGGCUUCACAGAGCAUUGUUUCUUCUUCAGCCAGGGAAUCAAGCAGGACAUGGAACAGCACAGGAGAGACCAUAAGCCAAUAGGCGGCAGGAGCCCGAGCUGCAGCCUAGAGUCACGCUUCUGCCUCCCAGCCACACAGUGGCCAAGAGCAGGGACCGGCUUCCUAGAGUGGCUGAAAGUGCUCGGACGGACAGCCAAGCCCAUCAUGGCGGACAGCGGGACAGUGGGUCGCGAUCAGGCACUUGGAGCCAGGCAGGUGAGGGUCCAUGGAAGGGUCAAGGGAGGAGACAAAAGAAAGUCUAUGAGCAGAAUGGAGCCACACCACACCACCACGGGCCCGAAAACCGCCUUGGUUGGUCUCUCACAUCAGGUUCCAUACAGAGGCAGCUUCAAAGACCCCCGCCUAGCCCAGGCCCUUCGUGUCCUGACCACCGUGCCAGGGCUCCGCGGCAAUCCGCCUUAAAUCGGCAUGGUUUAAGGAGCAUGUGGGUUUUUUGUUUUUUUGUUUUCAAUAAGGGGGAAAAAAGCAACAGAAAAAAAAUGUCCACCUAUAACAGGGGCGUGGGGGGGUGCAGCCAGCCCAGAUAGAUCAGAAGCGCCAAAUCCCAUUACUCGGGACUUCAGAGCACAGCCCUGCACAGGCAGCUGCGAUUAAGAGCUUGUCAAUGGAGUCCCCUUUGGAGAUCAAAGGGGCAUGCGAGAGAGAGAGAGAGAGAGAGAGAGAGAGAGAGAGAGAGAGAGAGAGAGAGAGAGAGCACACACGCGUGCACAGCGUACGUGCACAUGUGUGUGUCUGUGUGUGUCAGAGCACAUGCUGCGGGGUGACAGCGGAGGAACCAUGUGCCAUAGUACAGAUGAGCCGUGUGUAUCACCUGCCUCCUGUGGCCACCCUCCAUGUUGCUUCUGUCCUUGCUGCCAUGUAUGACAUGCGUGGAUGCAUCAGGCCAGGCUGGGCAAAAGAGAGGCCUGGUCCCUAAUGCAUCCUCUGGCUAGACCUAGUCCCCAUUUCUGGGCCUCCACCUUUUACUUGGGUCCUGUCCCUUCCCCAAAGUCUACCUGAGGGAGUCUGUAGGAGCUGCUGGGAAGGCGUGCUGGGCCACGGCAGUGGUGACUGUGAGGAUGUGCUGUAUCUGGGGCUGGAUACAGCCAGGUCCUGCUGCCCAUGGGCCAUGAGCUCUCAGCUGGCCUGGUAAAUGCAUCCUGGGGGUUGAAAGCUGCUGUCGAUGUGAUUGGUAGGUUGUUAGGUAAACUCUGAGAAGCAAAUCUUUUAAUCCACUGUGGCUAAUCCAGUGCACUUUUGUUUGCCAAGACAGAUUCUGCGGAAACAAAGGGGCCGGAGGGACCCCAGCAUACAUAAUCACAUACUUAGAACUUGGCCGCCGCUGCCCACAGGGUUCCUAGGCAGCAGAGAGAGACAUCUCAGGACAGCGGUGGAGAGGGUGGGAGAUAGAAGGAGGAGCAUAUGAGAGGGCUGAAGGUGUGCUGGCUACUACCCAUCCUAGGUGAUAGCUUUUCACCUGUCUGGAUAUCCCCUGGCCACCUGCCAGACAGGUGGCUGAUGGGUACUUUGCAAGUUGGUGGGGGCCAACUCAGCAGAGCCAGAUAGAAGGAAAACUAAUACCCACUAACACGGGUGUGAGAGUGCCCGGAGCACGGGCUUACGAAGAUGUAACGAGAAGCUGGGAAGGAUGGCAAAUGACAUGGGAAGGGUGGGAACAGAAGGAGUGAGGUGGCAGUGGGCAGAAGGAGGGCUGGUGUACCCCGACAGGAAGAGGAAGUGGUCUGGGGUGGUGUAGCCAAGUAUGAAAGAACACCUGCAGAGUCUCUUUCAGGCCUGGCACACUCACAAGGGAGAAUAUACUGCCGACCCCGGACAAAUGGUGCUGAGGUUAGGGAGGCCAGUUGGCUCCUUCCUCUACCAGACAUACACCAAGGCAUGGCAGUAGAAUUUAUUCUGCUACUCAAGUCUCGUCCGUGCAAGUUGUGCAUGGACCACUGAGUGAUCCUCACUUUGCCAAAGAGGACACUCAAGACACAGCAAGUAUUUGAGUCUCCAGAGUAGCUGGCGCCAUUCCCUUGUGUUCCCGAGGUUUCCUAGUUGGGGUGGAGGUAGGGGUAAUUGGGCUUGGUAGCAGGCUAUCCUUCCCCGACAGCUUACUGGGCUGAGGGUAUCAAAAAGAGCUAACUUGACCUCACAUCCUCCAUACCUACCUGCUGACGAUGAUCAACUUGCCUGUUACUUUGGUAUCUUCAUUCUCCUUCCUGCUCCAGACGGAUGACUCCCCUUAAGACAGUAGGGAGUCGGACCUCAGUAGGAAGGUGUGAGGUGUACUCUGGGAAGGGUUUAUUUCUUAGGGUCCACUCAAGGGGGAAGAGCUGGCCCAGCACUGCCUUCAUGCCUGUUUGCACUGCUUUCCUGCCUUACUGGCUCUGGACUCCUUUAGGCUGGCAGGGAAAUGGUGUGCUGGACAGAGGAGGACAUGGCUGUGAGGACCUCUGGAGUCUAACCCAGGGGAGAAGCAUGCUGCCACCUGAUUGGGCCUGGAACACAUAAUAGUCCAAAGGGCACAAACGGUGGCCACAGUGUCCAUCUCCGAAGUGACCGUGCUAGUAAGGCAGAAUAACUCCUUCUCUACUCCACUGUGGAUGGACACCUCUUACCUGGGAGGGAAAGGCAGACACUCGGCCAUCACAGCAUUUUGAAGCAGGAGCUAUCGGAACAGUCCAUUGUAAUGCUGGCUGGCAUAUAACCUAUUAUUUAGAAAUCUCAAUAAUGGUUAACACUGCAGCCACGUUGAACCAUAUCAUUUAGGACAGUCAUGCUCCUCCUGUUGGGCGAAAUACAAACACCAAGGGUAAUAAUGCAAGGUGCCAGCUCAGAACACACAUCACCAGGGGAUACAAGGGGAGGAGAAACUUGGGGCCAGCAGCAAAAUGGCUCAGCAGGUGAAAGAGCUUGCGGCUGACAGCCCCAGUUCAAUCCCAAGGACACACGUGUAGAAGAAGAGAAUCAACCUCCAGAAGUUGUGCUUUGACUUCUACAUAUAGACCCUGGCUAGCUUGUGCCCAAAUACAUUAAAAAAUAAAUAAAUUCGGUCAUGGGUCUUGCCUGUGCCAGGGUGGCUGCUGGCACAGAGUUAAGGCCUCCUGCCCUACCCUGGAGUGAGCACAGGAGCACCUUAGCUAACACCGCCCACGAGCAGUUAGCACACCUUGCUAUUAUGUCAUUCCUAUUCCUUAUACACUGAUGUCACUGGGAGGUGGCAGCUACUGCAGAAUGGUUGAGGCUUCCACUUCGUGGUCAUGCUAAUAUUACAGCAGCAUGCUUCUUUUUUUUUUGUUUGAUUUUUUUCAAGACAGUUUCUCUGUAUAACAGCCCUGGCUCUCCUGGAACUCGCUUUGUAGACCAGGCUAACUUUGAACUCACAGAGAUUCGCCUGUCUCUGCCUCCCAAGUGCCGGGGUUAAAGGCACAUGUCACCACAACCAGCUCUGCCGCACUUUCAUCAAGAAUAAAAUAGGCCGGGAGAGGUGGUUAACAGCACUGACUGCUCUUCCAGAGGACUCGGGUUCAAAUCCCAGCACCCAUAAGGCAGCUCACACCUGUCUAUAACUCCAAAAUUUGAUACCUUUACACAGACAUACUACAUGCAGAC